AAAGGAUACUUAUAUCCAAUCUCCAUCUUCUCCAACUCAUUUCUAACUAACUCACUCGUCUUAACCUCCUCAAAAGCGAGCUCAGGGUUUUCGUGAAUCUUCCUCCUCACGCUCUUCAACCAACUGACGGUCUCCGGCGUCUGGGCCAAGCCCAAAACUGCCUCGGAGCAGGCCUUAGUCCAAACCUCACAGCCAGUAGAAGGCUUUCGAGGCCUGGACGCUGACUGAUUCUUUUGCGAAUUCAGAGACUUGGGAUUCAAGGAAGUUACAUCGAAAAAGGAAGACGAAAACUCACUUUCAAGAAGAAGUAGAAGAUAAUAAAAUGAUAUUAUCUGAAAAAAUCAGUGAGAUUAAGAGAAAUAACAGAUUUGAAUGGGAAUUCAUCUUCACAUAGAGAAAGAGAGUGAGAGAGAGAGAGAG
rnacentral:misc_RNA from 1 species